rnacentral:lncRNA from 1 species
CUUUGAAUGGCCUCAGGAAGUUACCUGUACAUCUGUUCAGCCCUUCACCUUGCCAGGGUAUCUCCACCUGAAAGAACCAGGUUGCCAGUGAAGUCGGCACUGGGGCUACUUUGUAGUCCUAACGUAACCCUGUUAAUGUGCUCAAACGCUGUGCUUACUGACUGCGUAGAAAAGUCAUUUCUAUACUGCCUGCCUGAUCAGGCAACUCCUGAGCACGUGCAGGUCAGACAGUCCUUUCCCCUUCCAGGGAACGAUCCGAAAGAAGCUGUGCCAGGAGAACACAAAACAAUUUCUGUACUUCUGCAGGUCUUCCCCCUGCAGGAGAAUGUCAGGGCUGGUGGAUUUUGCUUUAUUUUUGCUGGUCCAGAGGGGAGAGGAGGCUCUCCUUGAAGGGCUCCAGGAUGUGACUGCAGUAUGAAGGCUCUGCUUCACUGCACAGCUUGGGAAGAUUCUCUGGGGACUUGGUCAGCCGGGAACCUGCAAGGCAUCCUGAGUCUCGACCCUGUAAGUACUGCUGUCACCUUUACGGUUGUUCUGCG